rnacentral:lncRNA from 1 species
CCCCGACACCGCCCCUUCCCGGGACCGGACCCCCGCCGCGCCUGGGGCGCCCCCGUGGACCCCAGGAGCCCAGCUCCUGUCUGCCCAGGGCGAGUGCGCCCGAGCUUUGACUUUUAGGGACUCCCUUCCCCCAACCUCGCAGAGACUUUCCUUGGCUCCCCCGCCCCCCGUCCCGUCGCUCCGACGUGGCUGCUGGGGGGGGGGCGGGGGGAGCGGUAUAAAGGAUGAGAGGCAGCCCCGGCCGGGACCCGAGACGUGGCGCGUCCACUCCGAUGGCCUCCGCUCCAGCCACACGACUAGAGGAGAGGAGCUGGGCGGGCCCUGCAGAGACGGUCACCCUUGAGGCAGGAGAUCACGACGCUGCUGUGGGUCCCAAGGGACCGAAAGGGAGGCCUUGCUGUCUGUGAUGCUUGCGAUGCUCUGAGAUUGUAUGACUCUCUUGAGACACCUCGGCUGAGAAAUGGUGGCUCGAGACCUUUAGGACCUCAGUGGACUUUCCUACCAGUGAGCUGGGGACACGUGACAGUCACCAUCCCCAAGUGUGCUCUCUGCAACCCUGCUUUCCUUCUUUCAGAUCCGUGUCAUUUAACAUUUUUUUUUUUUUUGGUCUUUUUAGGGCCGCAUCCACAGCAUAUGGAGGUUCCCAGGCUAGGGGUGGAAUCAGAGCUGCAGCUGCCAGCCUACCCCACAGCCACAGCAACUCGGGAUCCGAGCCGCGUCUGCGACCUACACCACAGCUCCCAGUCACAGGUGUGGCUCAGAUCCCACAUUGCUCUGGCUGUGGUGUAGGCCAGCAGCUACAGCUCUGAUCCCACCCCUAGCCCGGGAACUUCCAUAUGCCUCAGGUGUGGCCCUAAAAAGCAAAACAACAACAACAACAACAAAGAAAAAAAAAAAAACAGCCCAGAAACUAGGACAGAAUAGAAAGAAGACAGUCAUGGCACAUCCGUAAGUGAGCGUAAAUGGGCGUGGAACAAAGUACAGGUACUGGGCCUUACAUGAAAGGACCAGCUCAACCACACUGCCACCAGCCCUGUGCCAGUCUGUGCACUGGACACUCUGCCAUGGCCCCUUCUCUGAAGUCUGAGUUUCCAUGCCAGCCGAGCCAGGGCCUGCCUCAAGCCUCCCCGGUCUGGUCAAGGGGACAUUUUGCCACUGCCCAUUCUUCCGUGCAGGUUGGCACAUUGUGACCUGGCCCUCACCCCAUCCAGGUGAACUCUCCUCACCUGCGAGCAUGGUUGACCUCACCCCACAGGUGAAAACCACCUCCUUGACCUCACAGCCACAUUCAAGGGAGCAGCCUGCCGUGAAUCUACCCACUGGGAAUCACAGAAAAAAACCCAAGGAUACAGCAGCCUGAACAUAUAUUCAAUAGGAAAUGCUCACAUUUUUUUUUUUUUUUUACUUAGAAAAGCUUAGGAAUUCAUCUCACUUUUGAUAAGGGUCUGUUAAUAAAAGAAAUUGUAUAUUUCUUCAGCCCUGUACCAGAAGGCCAGAGUAUUCUAGAAAUCUGGAAGUAUUUUUCCUUGUGUUUAUGGUUAAAUUUCUAGAUAUAUUUUUCUAGCAGCCCAGUUGCCUUAAAAUAAAGUCAGUGUGCUCAAAAUACC